rnacentral:rRNA from 1 species
UUAGAGGAAGUAAAAGUCGUAACAAGGUCUCCGUUGGUGAACCAGCGGAGGGAUCAUUACUGAGUUUACGCUCUACAACCCUUUGUGAACAUACCUACAACUGUUGCUUCGGCGGGUAGGGUCUCCGCGACCCUCCCGGCCUCCCGCCUCCGGGCGGGUCGGCGCCCGCCGGAGGAUAACCAAACUCUGAUUUAACGACGUUUCUUCUGAGUGGUACAAGCAAAUAAUCAAAACUUUUAACAACGGAUCUCUUGGUUCUGGCAUCGAUGAAGAACGCAGCGAAAUGCGAUAAGUAAUGUGAAUUGCAGAAUUCAGUGAAUCAUCGAAUCUUUGAACGCACAUUGCGCCCGCCAGCAUUCUGGCGGGCAUGCCUGUUCGAGCGUCAUUUCAACCCUCAAGCUCUGCUUGGUGUUGGGGCCCUACAGCCGAUGUAGGCCCUCAAAGGUAGUGGCGGACCCUCCCGGAGCCUCCUUUGCGUAGUAACUUUACGUCUCGCACUGGGAUCCGGAGGGACUCUUGCCGUAAAACCCCCCAAUUUUCCAAAGGUUGACCUCGGAUCAGGUAGGAAUACCCGCUGAACUUAAGCAUAU